CAGAUUGAACGCUGGCGGCAUGCUUUGCACAUGCAAGUCGAACGGCAGCGAGGAGAAGCUUGCUUCCCUGUCGGCGAGUGGCGAACGGGUGAGUAUAGCAUCGGAACGUGCCAAGUAGUGGGGGAUAACCAAACGAAAGUUUGGCUAAUACCGCGUAAGCUCCAAGGAGGAAAGUAGGGGACCUAAAUAAGGCCUUACGCUAUUUGAUCGGCCGAUGUCGGAUUAGUUAGUUGGUGGGGUAAUGGCUCACCAAGGCAAUGAUCCGUAGCGGGUCUGAGAGGACGAUCCGCCACACUGGGACUGAGACACGGCCCAGACUCCUACGGGAGGCAGCAGUGGGGAAUUUUGGACAAUGGGGGAAACCCUGAUCCAGCCAUGCCGCGUGUAUGAAGAAGGCCUUAGGGUUGUAAAGUACUUUUGUUAGGGAAGAAAAGCUAGUUUUUAAUAAAAAUUAGUGAUGACGGUACCUAAAGAAUAAGCACCGGCUAACUACGUGCCAGCAGCCGCGGUAAUACGUAGGGUGCAAGCGUUAAUCGGAAUUAUUGGGCGUAAAGCGAGUGCAGACGGUUACUUAAGCCAGAUGUGAAAUCCCCAAGCUUAACUUGGGACGUGCAUUUGGAACUGGGUGACUAGAGUGUGUCAGAGGGAGGUAGAAUUCCACAUGUAGCGGUGGAAUGCGUAGAGAUGUGGAGGAAUACCGAUGGCGAAGGCAGCCUCCUGGGAUAACACUGACGUUGAGGCUCGAAAGCGUGGGGAGCAAACAGGAUUAGAU
rnacentral:rRNA from 1 species